GGCGUGGUGCCAGAGUGGUUAAUGGGUAUGACUCGAACGAUCUCCAUCAACUAGAUAUCAUAUGCCUUCGGGCGCGCAGGGUAAGAUACAUCUACUCCAGAUAUAUCGUCGCAUCUACUAAUGCUCAAAAAGUUCGAAUCCUGCCCACGUCG